CCAAGUUGAUCCUGCCAGUAGUCAUAUGCUUGUCUCAAAGAUUAAGCCAUGCAUGUGUAAGUAUAAACUAAUUCAGACUGUGAAACUGCGAAUGGCUCAUUAAAUCAGUUAUAGUUUGUUUGAUGGUAUCUACUACUCGAAUAACCGUAGUAAUUCUAGAGCUAAUACAUGCAACAAACCCCGACUUCUGGAAGGGAUGCAUUUAUUAGAUAAAAGGUCAACGCGGGUUAUACCCAUUGCUCUAAUGAUUCAUGAUAACUUGACGGAUCACACGGCCUUUGUGCUGGUGAUGCAUCAUUCAAAUUUCUACCCUAUCAACUUUCGAUGGUAGGAUAGUGGCCUACUGGUGACGGGUGACAGAGAAUUAGGGUUCGAUUUCGGAGAGGGAGCCUGAGAAACGGCUACCACAUCCAAGGAAGGCAGCAGGCGCACAAAUUACCCAAUCCUGACACGGGGAGGUAGUGACAAUAAAUAACAAUACCGGGCUUUAUGAGUCUGGUAAUUGGAAUGAGUACAAUCUAAAUCCCUUAACGAGGAUCCAUUGGAGGGCAAAUCUGGUGCCAGCAGCCGCGGUAAUUCCAGCUCCAAUAACUUAUAUUUAAGUUGUUGCAGUUAAAAAGCUCAUAGUUAGAACUAGGGUUGGGUCGUUCGGUCUGCCUAAUGGUGAGCACCGGUCUACUCAUCCCUACUGUUGAUGAUACACUCUUGGACUUAAUUGCCCGAGUCGUUCCUCCGACGCUGUUACUUUGAAGAAAUUAGAGUGCUCAAAGUAGGCCUACGCUCAAAACGGACUGAGCCCAAGUCCCCUGGAAAGGGGCAUCGAAGAGGGUGAGAGCCCCGUUGUGCUCGGACCCUAUCGCACCAUGAGACAUUGUCCGCGAGUUGGGUUGUUUUGGAAUGUAGCCCCAAUCGGGCAGUAAAUUUUGUCCAAGGCUGAAUACGAGCGAAAGACCGAUAAUGAACAAGUACCUCGAGGGAAAGAUGAAUUGGACUUUGAAAAGGGAGUAUAAGAGUGCUUGAAAUUGUCGAAAGAAAAACGGAUAGGGGUCGAUGAUGCGCCCCGGUCAGAUGUGGAACGGUAAGAGUCGGUCCUCCGAUUGGCUCGGGGCGUGGACCGAUGCGGGUCACGACGGUGGCCCAAGCCUGGGCUUUCAUUGUGCCUGUGGAGACAUAAUCACCGUGAUCAUGGAACGCAGUACACACCCUCUCGACGUGCCCCGACACCAGUGUGCUCCAGGCGUCGACCUGUGGGCUCCCCAUCCGACCCGUCUUGAAACACAGACUAAGGAGUCUGACAUGCGUGCGAGUCAAUGGGCCAGGAAACCCGUAAGGUGCAAGGAAGCUGAUUGGCGGGAUCCCUUGUGGGUGCACCAUCGACCAACCUUGAUCUUCUGAGAAGGGUUUGAGUGCGAGCAUGCCCAUCGGGACCCAAAAGAUGGUGAACUA
rnacentral:rRNA from 1 species